UUUUGUGUGUCUAUAUA
rnacentral:tRNA from 1 species